ensembl:lncRNA
CUUUUACGUGUGCUCAUUUGUAACCUGGGGAAACAGAGAUUCGGAUUUCAGUCUUAAGUGAUGUGCCCGAGGUGACGCAAUUGGUAAUUCACAGAGCUGGAUCUGGAACCCAAAUCAUGCUCUUCCUAUCACGCUACCUACCUUUUCUUUGUACCCUGGUCUGCAAAUGUCUUGUUUUCAGAACAAAGUUACUGUAGUCCAUCAGCUGAUCGCACCAGGGAAACCAUUUGGGGAGAGACGUGGAUGAACCCAGAGAUUGACACACUGAGUGAAGCAAGCGAGAAAGAAAACGUUGCACACUAACACGUGCACAUGGAAUCCAGGGAAACGGCACCAGAUGAACUCACUCACGAAGCAGAAUCUGAGACAGACACAGAGAACCCUCCUACGUUUUUAAGUGCACAGUGCAGCAUUGUUAACUGUGGACACAGUAUUGCACAGCAGAACUUUACUUGCGCUCCUCUCUUAUAUCUGAGACUUUAUACCCUAUGAAUAGCAAUUUUCCAUUUCCCCCUCCCCGAGCAGCUGGCAACCAUCAUUCUACUUUCCACGUCUAUAUAUUUGAUUAUUUUAGAAACCUCAUAAAAGUAGAAUCAUACAAUAUCUGUCCUUUUGUGACCAGCUUACUUUAUUUAGUAUAAUGUCCUCCAGACUUAUCCAUGUUAAUGCAUAUGGCAGAAUUCCCUUCUUUUUCAAGGAUAAAUAGUGUUCCUUCGUAUGUUGGUGUAUGUGUGAUCAUAUGAAUGCAC